rnacentral:rRNA from 1 species
UGAACGCUGGCGGCGUGCCUACUACAUGCACGUCGAGCGAACAGACGAGGAGCUUGCUCCUCUGACGUUAGCGGCGGACGGGUGAGUAACACGUGGAUAACCUACCUAUAAGACUGGGAUAACUUCGGGAAACCGGAGCUAAUACCGGAUAAUAUAUUGAACCGCAUGGUUCAAUAGUGAAAGACGGUUUUGCUGUCACUUAUAGAUGGAUCCGCGCCGCAUUAGCUAGUUGGUAAGGUAACGGCUUACCAAGGCGACGAUGCGUAGCCGACCUGAGAGGGUGAUCGGCCACACUGGAACUGAGACACGGUCCAGACUCCUACGGGAGGCAGCAGUAGGGAAUCUUCCGCAAUGGGCGAAAGCUUGACGGAGCAACGCCGCGUGAGUGAUGAAGGUCUUCGGAUCGUAAAACUCUGUUAUUAGGGAAGAACAAAUGUGUAAGUAACUAUGCACGUCUUGACGGUACCUAAUCAGAAAGCCACGGCUAACUACGUG